rnacentral:rRNA from 1 species
GCCCUUAGAGUUUGAUCAUGGCUCAGGACGAACGCUGGCGGCGCGCUUAACACAUGCGAGUUGAACGCUCCGCCCUCUACUGCCCUUCGGGGCAGAAGAGGAUUACGGAGAGUAGCGGACGGGUGAGUAACGCGUAGGUAACCUGCCCUGGAGAGGAGGAUAACUCUGCGAAAGCGGGGCUAAUCCUCCAUAUGUUAGGGCAUCGUAAGAUGCCUUAAUGAAAGGCGGCAUUAAGCCGUCGUUUCAGGAUGGGCCUGCGUCGGAUUAGCUAGCUGGUAGGGUAAAGGCCUACCAGGGCGACAAUCCGUAGCUGGUCUGAGAGGACGAUCAGCCACACUGGGACUGAGACACGGCCCAGACUCCUACGGGAGGCAGCAGUGGGGAAUCUUCCGCAAUGGGCGCAAGCCUGACGGAGCGACGCCGCGUGAGUGAAGAAGGCCUUCGGGUCGUGAAGCUCUGUCAGUGGGGAAGAAGGCAGUCAUCAAGAAAAGGGUGACUGUUGACGGUACCCGCAAAGGAAGCCCUGGCCAACUACGUGCCAGCAGCCGCGGUAACACGUAGAGGGCAAGCGUUGUCCGGAAUUACUGGGCGUAAAGGGCGCGCAGGCGGCAAGGCAAGUCGGGUGUGAAAACCUGGGGCUUAACCCCAGGCGUGCAUUCGAAACUGUCUUGCUUGAGGACAGCA